ensembl:lncRNA
ACGUGUUGUCUACAUGACAUGUGGUCCGACACGACGGGGUUAAAAACCCUGCAGCUCUUCGGGGAAACAUGGAUGAAUCACAGUCCAGCCAUAGCUGAGCCUGUUACUCCGUGACGUUUUUGUUGAAGUCGUAGGACAGCCGUCGCUUAGCUGCGGCAUUCUGAGCGUGCCGAUUGGCUGAGGGGAGGCCGGGGGAGAGGUGGCGAUUGGCGGCCCGGGAUGCAGUUCUGCUUUCCUGCAAAGACGAGAACGACGCGUAAGCGAUAUUAGACAAAGUGAACACCUGCUAAAAUGUAACUGGAUAAAGUGCUGAAGUGAUGCGUUCAGUCACCAAUGUUUUUUAGAAGUUAAAUUAGAUUAAAACUUCAGUGGCCUUCAGGUGUCUCUAGAGCACCGGUUUGUCCGUUCUGAGCUACUGUCGAAAAUUUGCGGUGAAACAAGAAGGACUUGAAGGUGUAUUCAACAACAAUUCUUAGUUUCAGCUGAUUAUUCACUGACAAAAACAUAGUUAGGAAGUUUACAUUCCAUUUCUGCUGAAAGAUCCCCUAAAUACUACACAGGGGACCGCUAAUUAUUUAAUCAACAAAAUAUAUCAUCGCAUAUAUUUGAUCAGCAAUAAAUCAUAAUUAAAUGAAGUUUCAAAAUAUGCCCUAAAUAUUGUAAAGCUGUGAUGGGCUUGAUCAAUCCACUUUAACACAGUAUUAUUAUGAAGUAGAACAUAUCCAAUGCAGUAAUUUUAGCCGAUUUACACAUUGAUUACGAAUAAAUUAUAAUAUGUUGAAAGAAAAGUCAUGAUUAAUAGAUAAAACAACAAAACGUGUUAGGAAGGAAACUGGAAGAGGUGUAUCUUCCCCUAUAAUGCUUCAUCAAAGAGAACUGUGAGACCAGCCGGCCUGGUGCACUCGUUAAUCCGCCGCUUGCAGGAGUGUUUUGCAUAGAAAAGCGGUCACUUCAUUUGAAUGGAGCCGCAGGUUUCAUCAGUCAAACUGCACCGUCCGGUCAUUUGACCAUCUACGAAGGCAAGUCCCGACCAAUUCUAUCUAACAACCUUGAAGCUUAACAGCCUCAAAACGGAACGCUAAGCACUCUGUGAUAAUCCCUCUGCAUGAAAUGUGUAUCCGUAGGAAGGGUGUUUGUGUGUGUGUGUGUGUGUGUGUGUGUGUGUGUGUGUGUGUGUGUGGAGAGAAAAAUCACUUCACAUAACAUUCAAUUUGCUGCGUUUUCUCACAGAAGGCUGAAAUGUCCGGAGCCAUUCCGGGGUCAGAGAUGAUACUCACAGAGCACGGCGGCUCCAGGUGUAGAGACCUCAGCAGCAGGUCACGAGACACGCCGCUCGCUCUCCUGUAUCUCUGGCAAAUCAUUUUGUUCAAGUCGUGGAAACCGUCCAACAGCCUGUGGGGUCAAAGAGAACAACGAUGAUGCAAUGGUUUAGUGGAUGUUGUUUUCCUGUCCCGGAGGGACAGAGGAUGUGAGAAAAACGUCAGACGAGAUCAGACAAAGUCGUCAUUCAGCGAGAGCUGAAUGACACACAAAUGCUGAAACACAAAUGCUCAUUAAUCAGGAAUGUUGUUCAGAACUUCAUUAUAACACUUUAUAAUUAUCAUAUAAUAUACGCUGUAUUUGAUAACCAGUCAUGCACAGCACAGUGCGUCUGUCUAUAGCCGUAUAUAUAAAUAAGUAUCCAUGUCCUAUUUUCAGAAAUGGUCUUCAGCGCUUCCUUUUACCAAUUCACCACUUUCACCACAUGGUGGUCGCAAUCCACAUAACUUUACACAACCUCAUUUCCAAAAUAAAUACACAUUUCAAACAAAACUCCAAAAG